AUGGCCUGGACCCCUCUCCUCCUCGGCCUCCUGGCUCUCUGCACAGCCUCUGUGGCCUCCUACGAGCUGACACAGCCGCCCUCGGUGUCGGUGAACCUGGGACAGACGGCCAGGCUCACGUGUGGGGGAAACGGCAUUGGAAGUAAAAAUGCUUACUGGUACCAGCAGAAGCCCGGCCAGGCCCCCGUGCUGGUCAUCUAUGAUGAUAGCAACCGGCCCUCAGGGAUCCCUGACCGAUUCUCAGGCUCCAACUCGGGGAACACGGCCACCCUGACCAUCAGCGGGGCCCAGGCCCAGGACGAGGCCGACUAUUACUGUCAGGUGUGGGAUGGUAAUGAUGCUCACAGUGACACAGGCAGAUGGGGAAGUGGGACAGAAACCUCCCCGUGUCACCCUCUCCCAGCCCUGAGCUCGGCUGUCCGUCUGUGA